rnacentral:rRNA from 1 species
AACCUGCGGAGGGAUCAUUACCGAGUUUACAACUCCCAAACCCCUGUGAACAUACCUAUACGUUGCCUCGGCGGAUCAGCCCGCGCCCCGUAAAACGGGACGGCCCGCCCGAGGACCCCUAAACUCUGUUUUUAGUGGAACUUCUGAGUAAAACAAACAAAUAAAUCAAAACUUUCAACAACGGAUCUCUUGGUUCUGGCAUCGAUGAAGAACGCAGCAAAAUGCGAUAAGUAAUGUGAAUUGCAGAAUUCAGUGAAUCAUCGAAUCUUUGAACGCACAUUGCGCCCGCCAGUAUUCUGGCGGGCAUGCCUGUUCGAGCGUCAUUUCAACCCUCAAGCUCAGCUUGGUGUUGGGACUCGCGGUAACCCGCGUUCCCCAAAUCGAUUGGCGGUCACGUCGAGCUUCCAUAGCGUAGUAAUCAUACACCUCGUUACUGGUAAUCGUCGCGGCCACGCCGUAAAACCCCAACUUCUGAAUGUUGACCUCGGAUCAGGUAGGAAUACCCGCUGAACUUAAGCAUAUCAAUA